rnacentral:rRNA from 1 species
CCUACGGGGGGCAGCAGUGGGGAAUAUUGGACAAUGGGCGAAAGCCUGAUCCAGCCAUGCCGCGUGUGUGAAGAAGGCCUUCGGGUUGUAAAGCACUUUCAGUGGGGAAGAAAGCCUUGGGGCUAAUACCCUCGAGGAAGGACAUCACCCACAGAAGAAGCACCGGCUAACUCCGUGCCAGCAGCCGCGGUAAUACGGAGGGUGCGAGCGUUAAUCGGAAUUACUGGGCGUAAAGCGCGCGUAGGCGGUCUGAUAAGCCGGUUGUGAAAGCCCCGGGCUCAACCUGGGAACGGCAUCCGGAACUGUCAGGCUAGAGUGCAGGAGAGGAAGGUAGAAUUCCCGGUGUAGAGGUGAAAUGCGUAGAGAUCGGGAGGAAUACCAGUGGCGAAGGCGGCCUUCUGGACUGACACUGACGCUGAGGUGCGAAAGCGUGGGUAGCAAACAGGAUUAGAUACCCUGGUAGUC